UUGAACGCUGGCGGCAGGCCUAACACAUGCAAGUCGAGCGGAUGAAGGGAGCUUGCUCCUGGAUUCAGCGGCGGACGGGUGAGUAAUGCCUAGGAAUCUGCCUAGUAGUGGGGGAUAACGUCCGGAAACGGGCGCUAAUACCGCAUACGUCCUGAGGGAGAAAGUGGGGGAUCUUCGGACCUCACGCUAUCAGAUGAGCCUAGGUCGGAUUAGCUAGUUGGUGGGGUAAAGGCCUACCAAGGCGACGAUCCGUAACUGGUCUGAGAGGAUGAUCAGUCACACUGGAACUGAGACACGGUCCAGACUCCUACGGGAGGCAGCAGUGGGGAAUAUUGGACAAAGGGCGAAAGCCUGAUCCAGCCAUGCCGCGUGUGUGAAGAAGGUCUUCGGAUUGUAAAGCACUUUAAGUUGGGAGGAAGGGCAGUAAGUUAAUACCUUGCUGUUUUGACGUUACCAACAGAAUAAGCACCGGCUAACUUCGUG
rnacentral:rRNA from 1 species